rnacentral:rRNA from 1 species
AAAAGAAACUAACAAGGAUUCCCCUAGUAACGGCGAGUGAAGAGGGAAGAGCCCAAGAUUGAAAGCUGGCGUCUUCGGCGUCCGCAUUGUAAUCUCAAGAAGUGUUUUCCGUUUCGGACCAUGCCUAAGUCUCUUGGAAAAGAGCAUCAUAGAGGGUGAUAAUCCCGUACAUGGCAUGGAGCGCCCGAGACUUUGUGAUACGCUUUCUAAGAGUCGAGUUGUUUGGGAAUGCAGCUCAAAAUGGGUGGUAAAUGCCAUCUAAGGCUAAAUAUUGGGGAGAGACCGAUAGCGAACAAGUACAGUGAUGGAAAGAUGAAAAGAACUUUGAAAAGAGAGUUAAACAGUACGUGAAAUUGCCAAAAGGGAAGGGUAGGAGGUCAGAGAUGCGUUCUGGGAUUCAGCCUUGCUUUUUGCUUGGUGUUUUUCCCAGAGGGCAGGCCAACGUCGGUUUUGGGCGCUGGAGAAGGGUGGAAGGAAUGUGGCACCUCUCGGGGUGUGUUAUAGCCUUCUACUGGAUACAGUGACCGAGACCGAGGACAGCAGCGUACUCGCAAGAGCGGGCCUUCGGGCACCU